CCUACGGGAGGCAGCAGUAGGGAAUCCUUCACAAUGGGCGAAAGCCUGAUGGAGCAACGCCGCGUGCAGGAUGAAGGCCUUCGGGUUGUAAACUGCUUUUAUAAGCGAGAAAUAUGAUGGUAACUUAUGAAUAAGGCUCGGCUAACUACGUGCCAGCAGCCGCGGUCAUACGUAGGAUCCGAGCAUUAUCCGGAGUGACUGGGUGUAAAGAGUUGCGUAGGUGGCAUAAUAAGUAGCUAGUGAAAUCUGGUGGCUCAACCAUUCAGACUAUUAGCUAAACUGUUAAGCUCGAGACCGUUAGGGGUAACUGGAAUUUCUAGUGUAGGAGUGAAAUCCGUAGAUAUUAGAAGGAACACCAAUAGCGUAGGCAGGUUGCUGGGACGGGUCUGACACUAAGGCACGAAAGCGUAGGGAGCAAACGGGAUUAGAUACCCGGGUAGUC
rnacentral:rRNA from 1 species